GAGUUUGAUCGUGGCUCAGAUUGAACGCUGGCGGUAUGCUUAACACAUGCAAGUCGAACGGUAACAGGAGAGAGCUUGCUCUUUUGCUGACGAGUGGCGGACGGGUGAGUAAUGCGUAGGAAUCUGCCUAGUAGUGGGGGACAACGUGUGGAAACGCACGCUAAUACCGCAUACGCCCUACGGGGGAAGCGGGGAGUCUUCGGACCUCGCGCUAUUAGAUGAGCCUACGUUAGAUUAGCUAGUUGGUGGGGUAAAGGCCUACCAAGGCGACGAUCUAUAGCUGGUCUGAGAGGAUGAUCAGCCACACUGGGACUGAGGCACGGCCCAGACUCCUACGGGAGGCAGCAGUGGGGAAUAUUGGACAAUGGGCGAAAGCCUGAUCCAGCAUACCGCGUGUGUG
rnacentral:rRNA from 1 species